rnacentral:rRNA from 1 species
CCCUAUGGGGUGCAGCAGGCGAGAAAACUUUGCAAUGUGCGAAAGCACGACAAGGUUAAUCCGAGUGGUUUCUGCUAAAGGAACCUUUUGUCAGUCCUAGAAACACUGAUGAAUAAGGGGUGGGCAAGUUCUGGUGUCAGCCGCCGCGGUAAAACCAGCACCUCAAGUGGUCAGGAUGAUUAUUGGGCCUAAAGCAUCCGUAGCCUGCUUUGUAAGUUUUCGGUUAAAUCCAUAUGCUCAACGUAUGGGCUGCCGGGAAUACUGCAAAGCUAGGGAGUGGGAGAGGUAGACGGUACUCGGUAGGAAGGGGUAAAAUCCUUUGAUCUAUUGAUGACCACCUGUGGCGAAGGCGGUCUACCAGAACACGUCCGACGGUGAGGGAUGAAAGCUGGGGGAGCAAACCGGAUUAGAUACCCGGGUAGUCCCAGCUGUAAACUAUGCAAACUCAGUGAUGCAUUGGCUUGAUGCCAAUGCAGUGCUGCAGGGAAGCCGUUAAGUUUGCCGCCUGGGAAGUACGUACGCAAGUAUGAAACUUAAAGGAAUUGGCGGGGGAGCACCACAAGGGGUGAAGCCUGCGGUUCAAUUGGAGUCAACGCCAGAAAUCUUACCCGGAGAGACAGCAGAAUGAAGGUCAAGCUGAAGACUUUACCAGACAAGCUGAGAAGUGGUGCAUGGCC